rnacentral:rRNA from 1 species
AGAGUUUGAUCCUGGCUCAGAAUCAACGCUGGCGGCGUGCCUAAUACAUGCAAGUCGAACGCGAAAGUCCCGCAAGGGAUGAGUAGAGUGGCAAACGGGUGAGUAACGCGUGGGUGACCUGCCUUCAAGUGGGGGAUAACGUUUCGAAAGGGACGCUAAUACCGCAUGACAUCCGACCUUUUAAGAGGUGGAGAUCAAAGCUGGGGAUCGCAAGACCUGGCGCUUGAAGAGGGGCCCGCGUCCGAUUAGCUAGUUGGUGGGGUAACGGCUCACCAAGGCAACGAUCGGUAGCCGGCCUGAGAGGGCGGACGGCCACACUGGGACUGAGACACGGCCCAGACUCCUACGGGAGGCAGCAGUAGGGAAUUGUUCGCAAUGGGCGCAAGCCUGACGACGCAACGCCGCGUGGAGGAUGAAGAUCUUCGGGUCGUAAACUCCUUUCGAUCGA